rnacentral:tRNA from 1 species
UCCCUCUUAGUUCAGUUGGUGCUCUUUAUUGGGAAGAUUAGCGGACGGUUAAUUCACAUGUCACUGGUUCAAGUCCAGUAGAGGGAGCCA